CACAAGUUGUAUCACCUUCUGUUAUACUGAUAAUACAGUUUGCCUUUAUGUUUACUUGAAGGAAAACACGAUAAAUUCCAGAAAACAAUCCGUGCACCAAACGCACACUAGAUGGUUCCAUAAAUUCCAAGGCUUGUAUAAGAUAACCUUGAAUAUCGAAUUGCACGAAUGCCCGCUUUCUGCGAAUCUGCGUUUGUUGAGCGAAUGCAACAUAAAGGGUUGCGCAAACAAUAAUAUUACGAUACGCAGUUCCUGAAACAGAGCACGGAAUAAUUGAAAACUUAAGGCUUCAUUGCUGCACGUUCGGUGUGGAUUGCAGUUUGGGGAUUUAUCUGAACAGUUUACAAUAUUCACUUUUGAAGUAUAUCAAGACACAAUAAAGAUGAACAAGAUCUUGGUGUGCUGGUUCGUCCUUGCUGUUAUAAUGGCGGCUUGUACAAGCGUAGAAGGAAGACGGCGGUAUCGGAAUUGCUGCCGUUACUGUGAGUCACAAGACAUGGAAUGUUACUGGAUGGGGAGUCAAUGCCGGUGUAUACCGGCGGAAGAACACCGCCUAGGUUUACCACCACCCUCUAUUUUGAAGGGACACAAGGGUGGUAAUUACCCCAGUUACCCAUAAAGACUGCAUAACCUCGUGAACACCAAAUGAUUUACUUUACAGGAUUAGUUUUGUUAAACCGUUGGUGUUGCUUACUUCAAGUCUUUGCUUUUUGUAUUUAAUAGUUUAAUUGCCUGUGCAUUUGUUUGUUCCGAUGCGCAUUCAAAAUUUGAAGAUUUGAAAUGAACAUUUGUCCGUUAAUUACACAUAUAUUGAAAUAAUGCAAAGCAUUUUUUCCCCUUAAUUCUUUCUGAAAUAAUGUCAUGAACCCAUUGUUUAUUGCAAUUACUAUAUUGAAUGUGAACCGAUGUGAAAUAAAUGUAUUGCUUAUA